AUGGACUUCCACCCCACACCCUGGCCUGCCCUGAUCAGCACAGCCAGCUGCCCCUGUCCCACAGAAGCUCCACAGAAUGGGGAAGGACUACACCAACUGAGCAUGUCCAGGGGCUACAGGAGACCUGCUGAACCCACAAGCAUACUGGCAUCAGAAGAGCGACAUCACUGAUGUCACAGCAAAUCCUCCAAACAGAGAAAAGGGAGGAGCCAAGUGCCUGCUCUCAGCCCAGGAGACCAGCACCCUGAGGGCAAAGAUGCUUAGACCUGUCCUUCCUGACCCUGCCUGGGGACCCAGGCUCCUCUGCUGCAUCACCCUUUGUGUCCUGGGAGCAGGUUCAGUGGAUGCUGAAAUCAUCCUGUUCCCAAGACACCUAAUCAGAGCAAAGGGAGGAAAGGGCACUCUGAAGUGCUAUCCCAUGUCUGAACACAGAAGUGUGUCCUGGUACCAGCAGGCUCUUGGUCAGGGGCCUCAGUUCCUUGUUGAGUACUUUGAAAAGAUGCAGAGAAACAAGGGAAACCUCCCUGAUCGAUUCUCAGCUCAGCAGUUUGAUGACUAUCACUCUGAGCUGAACAUGAGCUCCUUGGAGCUGGGGGACUCAGCCACGUAUCUGUGUGCCAGCAGCUUGCACAGCCCUGCAGAGUCACUGGCUUUCUGUACCCUAACCUUCCUGUCCCAGCUGAGGGUGUUCUAGGCAGAGGAGCUGUGG